ensembl:lncRNA
CUCAAAACAAAGGAUGUGUCAAGUUUAACUUUAUGCAUUUUAAAGAUUUUCUACUCAUUUUCUACUUAGCUUCACAGUAACAGUAAUUAUUAUUAUUAUUAUUAUUAUUAUUAUUAUUAUUAUUAUUAUUAUUAUUCAUUUUUUGAUCCCAUCUCCCAUCCAGUGUUUACUAGGGGAGGGACUCCGGCAGUCUGCGUCACAGCAGCGCAUAGUCAACAUCCUACCCUAGCUUAGCUUAGCAUAGCUAGCUAUGUUUGUCAUCUUUUGAACCCUGAGUCUGGUUUAGCUGAACACUGUUUAUUACAACAAUCCAGACAGAUAUCUAACCUACCAUUUACUGCAGUUCCUGUAGCUUAUUAAUACCAUGCAGCGCUGGGCUGGGAUAUUACUGCGUGGUUAGUUAACGUUAUGGCUAGCUGGAUUAUAUGUUAACUUAUUAGCUAACUAAGCUAGCUAACCUAGCAUUAGCUCUCCUAGCAUUAUCUAACCUAACUAAAUAAAUAAGCGAGCAGCUCCUGCGCGGACGGGAUUUCUGCUUAAAUAUAUGCGUUAAAAACAUGUCGGAGACCCAGUCUGUGGCUGACAGCGUUUUUCCUGACUUAAAAAGAGUCCAGAGCCUGGCUGAAGUGGUGUAAAGCAGAGCAUCAGAAGAUGGGAAGCCCUUUUAAAAUCCCUAAGAAGAAGCAGCCCUCGGAUUCCUCCAGUCUUCACAUGCUGUCUCCUCUCUCCAGAGUUCAGGAUGGAGAUAAUUCUAAGACGAGCUGGACCAAGGUUGCGUGCAAUGGCAGAACACCACACAAAAGCAGCUUUUCCAAUGCAAGAAUAGAUGCAAGGUCUGGAUUUGCUGGUGGAGACAGGUUCGUCCUAUCUCCCUCUCAUAGAUCUGAGUUCGGAGGCCGCGCACGCCUUAAUGGGACCCCCGCUAAAGAGGCAGGCGGUACCCCAAAGUCCCGAACUGCUGCUGGUGACUUUACAGAUCAAAACAGGUGGAGGCCUAGGAGAGCUUCUGAUUCGUUGUGUCAGCAUGAGGGAGGCAAGGACUCGCCGGCUGCUAAGAAGCAGUGGGGAUCUGGGUUUCCAGAGAUGUGGAAAUCUUCUCAAAUAGAGCACAAAGAGGAGGAAGAUGAUGAUGAUGAUGAGGAGGAGGAUAAUAAAGCCAAUAAGAGCAAGCCGGCCUCCUCACUAGUAAAAGAAGUGAAGGGAGCAUCUGCUGCUGUGUCGAGCCAGCGAGGAGUAUCGUCCCAAAGCCUCAGGUCCACACCUCCGGAGAUUAAAACUGCAGGGUUUAAGAGGAACGGUGAGAUGGCACUGGCUUCUUCUGACCAGGCCUCCGGGGGCAUAGUGCCAGAGAAGCGUGUGAGGAGCCCUGGAGUAAAAGCUCCUAUCUCCAUGCCUCUUAGGAAAGCUGGCAGUGGUAUGUCGUACUCCAGAGGGAGACUUAGGCUCAACCUUUCUUUAAAGACGUACCAGAGAAUCAAGCAGAGCUCCACAGAACCCAGUAAGUGUAACUGCUAUCUACUUCAUCUUAAUUUUGACCUCCCUUUGACUGUUAUUGGUUCUAAUCACGAUUUAUUGUUGAUAGAUCUAAACUAUCAUAACAUUAUAACAUCUAUACCCCUACCCAUUCAUCAGAUGCAGCAGUGCUGCUGGAGUUUUUAAACACUGUUUAAUCACUCACUCUCCUCCACUCUGUUACACACUCCUUCUAGAGCUAGGCAUUAUGAUCAAAAAUCAAGAUUCAAGAUUCUGACGGUUUCAUGAUAUAUCACAGUAUUUCAGUAUCUUAUUUAUUUAUUUCUGCAUGUCUUUGCUUUAAUAUAAGUUUGUGACUUACUCUACUGCUAG